UACAUGGGGUGCAAACGUUGCUCGGAAUUAUUGGGCGUAAAGCGCACGUAGGCGGUCCGUUAAGUCGGAUGUGAAAGCCCCCGGCUCAACCGGGGAAGUGGCAUCCGAAACUGGCAGGCUAGAGUACGAAAGAGGGUCGCGGAAUUCCCGGUGUAGAGGUGAAAUUCGGUAGAUAUCGGGAGGAACACCGGUGGCGAAGGCGGCGAACCUG
rnacentral:rRNA from 1 species